rnacentral:rRNA from 1 species
GUUCGGGUUGUCAUGCCAAUGGCACUGCCCGGUAGCUAAAUGCGGAAGAGAUAAGUGCUGAAAGCAUCUAAGCACGAAACUUGCCCCGAGAUGAGUUCUCCCUGAGACUUUAGGUCUCCUGAAGGAACGUUGAAGACGACGACGUUGAUAGGCCGGGUGUGUAAGCGCAGCGAUGCGUUGAGCUAACCGGUACUAAUGAACCGUGAGGCUUAACCUU